GAUGAACGCUGGCGGCGUGCAUAAUACAUGCAAGUCGAGCGAACAGACGAGGAGCUUGCUCCUCUGACGUUAGCGGCGGACGGGUGAGUAACACGUGGAUAACCUACCUAUAAGACUGGGAUAACUUCGGGAAACCGGAGCUAAUACCGGAUAACAUGUUGAACCGCAUGGUUCAACAGUGAAAGACGGUCUUGCUGUCACUUAUAGAUGGAUCCGCGCCGCAUUAGCUAGUUGGUAAGGUAACGGCUUACCAAGGCAACGAUGCGUAGCCGACCUGAGAGGGUGAUCGGCCACACUGGAACUGAGACACGGUCCAGACUCCUACGGGAGGCAGCAGUAGGGAAUCUUCCGCAAUGGGCGAAAGCCUGACGGAGCAACGCCGCGUGAGUGAAGAAGGUCUUCGGAUCGUAAAACUCUGUUAUUAGGGAAGAACAAAUGUGUAAGUAACUAUGCACGUCUUGACGGUACCUAAUCAGAAAGCCACGGCUAACUACGUGCCAGCAGCCGCGGUAAUACGUAGGUGGCAAGCGUUAUCCGGAAUUAUUGGGCGUAAAGCGCGCGUAGGCGGUUUUUUAAGUCUGAUGUGAAAGCCCACGGCUCAACCGUGGAGGGUCAUUGGAAACUGGAAAACUUGAGUGCAGAAGAGGAAAGUGGAAUUCCAUGUGUAGCGGUGAAAUGCGCAGAGAUAUGGAGGAACACCAGUGGCGAAGGCGACUUUCUGGUCUGUAACUGACGCUGAUGUGCGAAAGCGUGGGGAUCAAACAGG
rnacentral:rRNA from 1 species